rnacentral:rRNA from 1 species
GGACCCGCACAAGUAGUGGAGCAUGUGGUUUAAUUCGAAGAUACGCGCAGAACCUUACCAACACUUGACAUGUUUGUCGCGACUUUAAGAGAUUAAAGUCUUCGGUUCGGCCGGACAAAACACAGGUGCUGCAUGGCUGUCGUCAGCUCGUGUCGUGAGAUGUUGGGUUAAGUCCCGCAACGAGCGCAACCCUCACUUUUAGUUGCUACCAUUUAGUUGGGCACUCUGAAAGAACUGCCAGUGAUAAGCUGGAGGAAGGUGGGGAUGACGUCAAGUCCUCAUGGCCCUUACGUGUUGGGCUACACACGUGCUACAAUGGCAUUUACAAUAGGAAGCAAAAUGGCGACAUUGAGCAAAUCCUAAAAAAAUGCCUCAGUUCGGAUUGUACUCUGCAACUCGAGUACAUGAAGCUGGAAUUACUAGUAA